rnacentral:rRNA from 1 species
GAAGGUGUGCUGUGAGGCAUGCUGGAGGUAUCAGAAGUGCGAAUGCUGACAUAAGUAACGAUAAAGCGGGUGAAAAGCCCGCUCGCCGGAAGACCAAGGGUUCCUGUCCAACGUUAAUCGGGGCAGGGUGAGUCGACCCCUAAGGCGAGGCCGAAAGGCGUAGUCGAUGGGAAACAGGUUAAUAUUCCUGUACUUGGUGUUACUGCGAAGGGGGGACGGAGAAGGCUAUGUUGGCCGGGCGACGGUUGUCCCGGUUUAAGCGUGUAGGCUGGUUUUCCAGGCAAAUCCGGAAAAUCAAGGCUGAGGCGUGAUGACGAGGCACUACGGUGCUGAAGCAACAAAUGCCCUGCUUCCAGGAAAAGCCUCUAAGCAUCAGGUAACAUCAAAUCGUACCCCAAACCGACACAGGUGGUCAGGUAGAGAAUACCAAGGCGCUUGAGAGAACUCGGGUGAAGGAACUAGGCAAAAUGGUGCCGUAACUUCGGGAGAAGGCACGCUGAUAUGUAGGUGAAGUCCCUCGCGGAUGGAGCUGAAAUCAGUCGAAGAUACCAGCUGGCUGCAACUGUUUAUUAAAAACACAGCACUGUGCAAACACGAAAGUGGACGUAUACGGUGUGACGCCUGCCCGGUGCCGGAAGGUUAAUUGAUGGGGUUAGCCGCAAGGCGAAGCUCUUGAUCGAAGCCCCGGUAAACGGCGGCCGUAACUAUAACGGUCCUAAGGUAGCGAAAUUCCUUGUCGGGUAAGUUCCGACCUGCACGAAUGGCGUAAUGAUGGCCAGGCUGUCUCCACCCGAGACUCAGUGAAAUUGAACUCGCUGUGAAGAUGCAGUGUACCCGCGGCAAGACGGAAAGACCCCGUGAACCUUUACUAUAGCUUGACACUGAACAUUGAGCCUUGAUGUGUAGGAUAGGUGGGAGGCUUNGAAGUGUGGACGCCAGUCUGCAUGGAGCCGACCUUGAAAUACCACCCUUUAAUGUUUGAUGUUCUAACGUUGACCCGUAAUCCGGGUUGCGGACAGUGUCUGGUGGGUAGUUUGACUGGGGCGGUCUCCUCCUAAAGAGUAACGGAGGAGCACGAAGGUUGGCUAAUCCUGGUCGGACAUCAGGAGGUUAGUGCAAUGGCAUAAGCCAGCUUGACUGCGAGCGUGACGGCGCGAGCAGGUGCGAAAGCAGGUCAUAGUGAUCCGGUGGUUCUGAAUGGAAGGGCCAUCGCUCAACGGAUAAAAGGUACUCCGGGGAUAACAGGCUGAUACCGCCCAAGAGUUCAUAUCGACGGCGGUGUUUGGCACCUCGAUGUCGGCUCAUCACAUCCUGGGGCUGAAGUAGGUCCCAAGGGUAUGGCUGUUCGCCAUUUAAAGUGGUACGCGAGCUGGGUUUAGAACGUCGUGAGACAGUUCGGUCCCUAUCUGCCGUGGGCGCUGGAGAACUGAGGGGGGCUGCUCCUAGUACGAGAGGACCGGAGUGGACGCAUCACUGGUGUUCGGGUUGUCAUGCCAAUGGCACUGCCCGGUAGCUAAAUGCGGAAGAGAUAAGUGCUGAAAGCAUCUAAGCACGAAACUUGCCCCGAGAUGAGUUCUCCCUGACUCCUUGAGAGUCCUGAAGGAACGUUGAAGACGACGACGUUGAUAGGCCGGAUGUGUAAGCGCAGCGAUGCGUUGAGCUAACCGGUACUAAUGAACCGUGAGGCUUAACCUU